AUUAACAAAGAAUUAACGGCUAAUAAAACAUUAUUCAAGAUUCGAUGAUCAUGAGGUGGCACGUUAUAAUAGCGAGACCACUUUCAUUUACAAUACACUCCACCACAGGUGAUCAUACACCACGCGCUUUUGUUUUUUCUUUUCCCAUUCCUCCAACUUUACUCCACUUACACUUUAUAAUUGAAAAUUCCUAAAUCCAAAUUAUUUCAAUUUGCUCUUUAUCUUCAUAACCACACAACAACAUAAAUAUAAACCAUUUCUCAUUGUUCUUGUUCUAUUCCAACAUCUACAUCACUCAUCAUGGCUUCAAGAGUAGCUUUGUUGAUGUUUUUGUG
rnacentral:lncRNA from 1 species